AUAUUAUGAUGCAGGUGAUUAUGAUGAUGAUGAUGGCGGUGAUGGUCACCACCAUCAUCAUCACCACCACAACCAUCAUCAUCAUCAUCAUCAUCAUAAUCAUCAUCAUCA
rnacentral:pre_miRNA from 1 species